rnacentral:rRNA from 1 species
CCGAAAGGCAGGAGUGCCUGCAAGGGAGCGCGGAGACAGGUGGUGCAUGGCUGUCGUCAGCUCGUGUCGUGAGAUGUUGGGUUAAGUCCCGCAACGAGCGCAACCCUCACCUCUUGUUGCCAUCAGGUCAUGCUGGGCACUCUAGAGGAACUGCCCCGGUCAACGGGGAGGAAGGCGGGGAUGACGUCAAGUCAUCAUGCCCCUUACGUCCUGGGCUACACACGUGCUACAAUGGCCGGUACAAAGGGAUGCCACACCGCGAGGUAGAGCUAAACCCAAAAAGCCGGUCUAAGUUCGGAUUGGAGUCUGCAACUCGACUCCAUGAAGGAGGAAUCGCUAGUGAUCGCGUAUCAGCACGACGCGGUGAAUACGUUCCCGGGCCUUGUACACACCGCCCGUCACGCCACGAAAGCCAG